rnacentral:tRNA from 1 species
GCCUCCGUAGCUCAGUGGAUAGAGCGCCGGUUUCCGGUACCGUAGGUCGCUGGUUCGAUUCCAGUCGGGGGCACCA